CGGCAGCACAGGAGAGCUUGCUCUCUGGGUGGCGAGUGGCGGACGGGUGAGGAAUACAUCGGAAUCUACUCUGUCGUGGGGGAUAACGUAGGGAAACUUACGCUAAUACCGCAUACGACCUACGGGUGAAAGUGGGGGACCGCAAGGCCUCACGCGAUUGAAUGAGCCGAUGUCGGAUUAGCUAGUUGGCGUGGUAAAGGCCCACCAAGGCGACGAUCCGUAGCUGGUCUGAGAGGAUGAUCAGCCACACUGGAACUGAGACACGGUCCAGACUCCUACGGGAGGCAGCAGUGGGGAAUAUUGGACAAUGGGCGCAAGCCUGAUCCAGCCAUACCGCGUGAGUGAAGAAGGCCCUCGGGUUGUAAGGCUCUUUUGUUGGGAAAGAAAUCCUGUUGGCUAAUACCCGGCGGGGAUGACGGUACCCAAAGAAUAAGCACCGGCUAACUUCGUGCCAGCAGCCGCGGUAAUACGAAGGGUGCAAGCGUUACUCGGAAUUACUGGGCGUAAAGCGUGCGUAGGUGGUUGCUUAAGUCUGUCGUGAAAGCCCUGGGCUCAACCUGGGAAUUGCGAUGGAUACUGGGCGACUAGAGUGUGGUAGAGGGUGGCGGAAUUCCCGGUGUAGCAGUGAAAUGCGUAGAGAUCGGGAGGAACAUCCGCGGCGAAGGCGGCCACCUGGGCCAACACUGACACUGAGGCACGAAAGCGUGGGGAGCAAACAGGAUUAGAUACCCUGGUAGUCCACGCCCUAAACGAUGCGAACUGGAUGUUGGGUUCAACUUGGAACCCAGUAUCGAAGCUAACACGUUAAGUUCGCCGCCUGGAGAGUACGGUCGCAAGACUGAA
rnacentral:rRNA from 1 species